GAUGAACGCUGGCGGCGUGCCUAAUACAUGCAAGUCGAGCGAACAGACGAGGAGCUUGCUCCUCUGACGUUAGCGGCGGACGGGUGAGUAACACGUGGAUAACCUACCUAUAAGACUGGGAUAACUUCGGGAAACCGGAGCUAAUACCGGAUAAUAUAUUGAACCGCAUGGUUCAAUAGUGAAAGACGGUUUUGCUGUCACUUAUAGAUGGAUCCGCGCCGCAUUAGCUAGUUGGUAAGGUAACAGCUUACCAAGGCAACGAUGCGUAGCCGACCUGAGAGGGUGAUCGGCCACACUGGAACUGAGACACGGUCCAGACUCCUACGGGAGGCAGCAGUAGGGAAUCUUCCGCAAUGGGCGAAAGCCUGACGGAGCAAAGCCGCGUGAGUGAUGAAGGUCUUCGGAUCGUAGAACUCUGUUAUUAGGGAAGAACAAAUGUGUAAGUAACUAUGCACGUCUUGACGGUACCUAAUCAGAAAGCCACGGCUAACUACGUG
rnacentral:rRNA from 1 species